rnacentral:rRNA from 1 species
GACCUACGGGGCGCAGCAGUCGGGAAUAUUGCGCAAUGGAGGAAACUCUGACGCAGUGACGCCGCGUAUAGGAAGAAGGUUUUCGGAUUGUAAACUAUUGUCGUGAGGGAAGAAGAUGACAGUACCUCAGGAGGAAGCUCCGGCUAACUAUGUGCCAGCAGCCGCGGUAAUACGUAGGGGGCGAGCGUUGUCCGGAAUCACUGGGCGUAAAGGGCGCGUAGGCGGUAAUAUAAGUCAGAUGUGA